rfam:Bombyx mori DNA, contig: Bm_scaf4_contig4061, strain: p50T/Dazao, build 2, whole genome shotgun sequence.
UUAACUCAAAUUUGUAUGGAGUUGGACUGUUUGCGUACGUUUGCCGCUAGGGGCGCUGUUCCAACUGCAUAAAAAUUUAAGUUA